GCGGGCGUGGUGGAAUGGUAGACACAGGGGACUUAAAAUCCCCAGGCUUUAGCCGUGCGGGUUCGAGUCCCGCCGCCCGUA
rfam:Silicibacter sp. TM1040, complete genome.